rnacentral:rRNA from 1 species
UACGUAGGGCGCAAGCGUUAUCCGGAUUUAUUGGGCGUAAAGAGCGUGUAGGCGGCCAGACAGGUCAGCUGUGAAAACUCGAGGCUCAACCUCGAGACGUCGGUUGAAACCGUCUGGCUAGAGUCCGGAAGAGGAGAGUGGAAUUCCCGGUGUAGCGGUGAAAUGCGCAGAUAUCGGGAAGAACACCCGUGGCGAAGGCGGCUCUCUGGGACGGUACUGACGCUGAGACGCGAAAGCGUGGGGAGCGAACAGG